rnacentral:lncRNA from 1 species
AGAGACAGCUGCUAUGCUCCAGCGUCCCGGAAAUUACUCAGAUUAGCCGAUCCAGAGGGAAUCUGAGGAACCCAGCUAACUCCACCUCACUUGCCACACAUAAACUGCCCCCUACAUACAGGUCCAGCCUGUGGGACAUUUUCCAGGUGCAACCCGCUCUGUGGCCCUGAGUGGCAGCCUUCUCUCUUUCAAAGUUGGAGGCAUACGGGUAACCCAAAUCAAUGGUAUUCUAAAAUGGAAUUGAUAAACUUUGUGGCUUUCAAUGUGACAAAUUAAUAACCCAUACUCCAGACAUAAAUGUCUUCAGGAGAGGCUUAAGUAAACAGGAUUUGCAAGCCCCAACUGAAUCAAGUUAUCUUAAAAUACAAGAAAAGCAUCCACAGUCCUUUGGCCUGUCAACCUACCUUGCUGGCACUCACUACCAAAGGCCUCUGAGGCCUGGAGAAUGUAUUUGACCCUUUAAAUGAUGGCCAGUUUCAUAAAAAAGAAGGAAAUCCUGCCUUUUGUGACAAUAUGGAUGGAUCUUGAGAGCAUUACACUAAGUAAAAUACUUCAGACAGAGAAAGCUGGAAUGGAGAAGGAUGAAUUCACCAAAACACUGGCCACAUACCAUCUGCUCCAACAGGGACACCACAUCAGCCAGAGCUACUAUGACCAAGACUCCUACUUGUUAAGUCUGAAGUAGUCCACAGUUGCUCUCCAGGAUGAGGUUUCUGUAAUCCCAAACUAAACAGAAAUAUGACAAGAAAAGGCCACCCAACUAUGAAAUAAGAGGAAAAAUCAAGAAGUGGAAAUCAAACACGACACUUUGAACCGACAGAAAUGGAAAUUUAAACCACUGCUAAAAUUAUUCUAUGUUAUUAAAACAACGUCUAUACCAAUAGUUCUCAAACUUCAAUGUAUAUCAGAAUUACUUGAAUUUCAUUGAAAAGAUAAAUUCCU